rnacentral:rRNA from 1 species
GACGAACGCUGGCGGCGUGCUUAACACAUGCAAGUCGAACGGGGAAGCGAGUGCUUGCGCCCGUGGAUCAGUGGCGAACGGGUGAGUAACACGUGAGUAACCUGCCCAUCACUCUGGGAUAAGCACUGGAAACGGUGUCUAAUACUGGAUACGACCAAUCCUUGCAUGGGGUGUUGGUGGAGAGAUUUAUCGGUGAUGGAUGGACUCGCGGCCUAUCAGCUUGUUGGCGGGGUAAUGGCACACCAAGGCGACGACGGGUAGCCGGCCUGAGAGGGUGACCGGCCACACUGGGACUGAGACACGACCCAGACUCCUACGGGAGGCAGCAGUGGGGAAUAUUGCACAAUGGGCGAAAGCCUGAUGCAGCGACGCCGCGUGAGGGAUGACGGCCUUCGGGUUGUAAACCUCUUUCAGCAGGGAAGAAGCGAAAGUGACGGUACCUGCAGAAGAAGCACCGGCUAACUACGUG